GAAUGCGAUAAGUAAUGUGAAUUGCAGAAUUCAGUGAAUCAUCGAAUCUUUGAACGCACCUUGCGCUCCUUGGUAUUCCGAGGAGCAUGCCUGUUUGAGUGUCAUGGAAUUCUCAACUCUAUUUGCUUUUGUGAAUAGAGCUUGGAUUUGGAGGUUUAUUGCUGGUACUUGUGAUCGGCUCCUCUUGAAUGCAUUAGCUCGAACCUUUGCGGAUCAGCUAUCGGUGUGAUAAUUGUCUACGCCGUUGCAGUGAAGCAUAUCAAUGGGCUCGGCUUCCAAUCGUCCUUUACUGGACAAUGACUUUGACCUUUGACCUCAAAUCAGGUAGGAUUACCCGCUGAACUUAAGC
rnacentral:misc_RNA from 1 species